UGCUAGAAAAAUGGCAGGGCAGACCAUUACUAUGGUUUGCCUGCAGACAUCACAUAUAUGAGCUUCAUAUUAAGCAUGUAGCACUUGCAGUUUCUGGAAAUAUGUCUGAUGGACCAGUUGAUAAUCUUUUCAAAAAAAUUCAAAAUUUCUGGGAAACUAUUAAGCCUGACAUAAAUUUAAACAAUCUUAACAGGUUUGAAUGGAGCAAGAGAAAAGGAACAUUUUUAGAAGAACAGGCUCUAAAAACCAAAAUAUAUCUUGAAUACGCCUUGUUUACAGAAAAGUUUCCUCGUG
rnacentral:lncRNA from 1 species